rnacentral:rRNA from 1 species
UACGUAGGGACCGAGCGUUGUCCGGAAUCAUUGGGCGUAAAGAGCGUGUAGGCGGCCUGUUAAGUCUUGCGUGAAAUCUCGGGCUCAACCCCGAGCGGUCGUGAGAAACUGGCAGGCUAGAGUGCGGGAGAGGAGAGUGGAAUUCCUGGUGUAGCGGUGAAAUGCGCAGAUAUCAGGAAGAACACCCGUGGCGAAGGCGGCUCUCUGGAACGCAACUGACGCUGAGACGCGAAAGCGUGGGAGCAAACAGG